GACGAACCGAGCGAACGUUAUUCGGAAUCACUGGGCUUAAAGGGCGCGUAGGCGGGCCGUCAAGUCAGGGGUGAAAGCCCCCAGCUCAACUGGGGAAGUGCCUCUGAUACUGGCGGCCUCGAGCGAGGUAGGGGCGUGCGGAACUUCCGGUGGAGCGGUGAAAUGCAUUGAGAUCGGAAAGAACACCAACGGCGAAAGCACUCUGCUGGGCCGACACUGACACUGAGAGACGAAAGCUAGGGGAGCAAAUGGG
rnacentral:rRNA from 1 species